AUACGUAUGUCGCAAGCGUUAUCCGGAUUUAUUGGGCGUAAAGCGCGUCUAGGCGGCUUAGUAAGUCUGAUGUGAAAAUGCGGGGCUCAACCCCGUAUUGCGUUGGAAACUGCUAAACUAGAGUACUGGAGAGGUAGGCGGAACUACAAGUGUAGAGGUGAAAUUCGUAGAUAUUUGUAGGAAUGCCGAUGGGGAAGCAAGCCUACUGGACAGAUACUGACGCUAAAGCGCGAAAGCGUGGGUAGCAAACAGGAUUAGAUACCCUGGUAGUCCACGCCGUAAACGAUGAUUACUAGGUGUUGGGGGUCGAACCUCAGCGCCCAAGCUAACGCGAUAAGUAAUCCGCCUGGGGAGUACGUACGCAAGUAUGAAACUCAAAUGAAUUGACGGGG
rnacentral:rRNA from 1 species